rnacentral:tRNA from 1 species
GCCCCACUAGCUCAGUCGGCUAGAGCACCUGACUCUUAAUCAGGGCGUCCGGGGUUCGAAUCCCCGGUGGGGUACCA